ensembl:lncRNA LINC00412 long intergenic non-protein coding RNA 412
GCCUUGUAUCCGCGUCUCCGCAGGGAAAACUGCGGCUGGCGGUGCGGGAAGUGCUAUUAGUAGUUGUUUAUUUGUUUGUUUGCAGAAAUAAUUGCUUGGGUACGAAGGUCAAACGAGAAUGAAGCAAGUAUAUUAUCUAGUUUGUAUGUCUUUAAAUAGUUUCUCCUCCACACGUCUAAACAUACGCACCUGCUAGUAGGUGCGCAAAUGUUAAAACCUCUUUGGGAAAGCAAUGUGGCAAAAUCUAGUAAAAGUUUUCAAUUACUAAACCCCAGCACUCUGCUCCUACCUAUAUGUCUUGUAGAAACUUUGGUAAGUGAACAAGGAUGUACGUAACAGCGCUGUGGGUAGAAGCAAAAAAUUAGAAACGUCCAUCAAUAACAGAAUAAAUACCUUAUGGGAUGUUAGGAUGUAGUAUUAUACGCCAAUAAAAGAAGACUGAACUCAGAAAUGUGAUGAGGCAAAAAGAGAAAGAUGUAGAAAAAUAAAUAGUAUGACAAUUCAUAUACAUUCAACUCUAAAACUUGUAAAACAAUGCUAUAUAUUGCUUAGUUAUGCAUACAUAUGUAGUUAAAGAAGUCAAGAAAUACAAGAGAAUGAAAAUCAAGUUGAGAAAAGCAGUCAUAUCUGUGAUGGAGGUUGAGAAGUCCAACUUCAAGGCACCACAUCUGGUGAGAGCCUUCAUUCCGAUGACAGCCUUCAUGCUGCCUCAACUCUGGGGAAGCUCCAAGACAGGUAAAAUACAGCAACCUGCAGCAGGAAAAUGGGCUUCAGUUUUCAAGUCUGCAGCUGAGUUGGGAAGUUGCGGACAGUAACCAGUAAUACACAAUAUUGGCAACAAUGCAACAAAAUGGACACACUCUACUCUCCAGCGGGAGUGUUAAAAAAACGAAAAGAAGAGAAAGAAAAAAGGAAAGAAGCAGAAGGAAGAACUCUGCUGCAGUACUGGAAGCAGGCAGAUUAUUUAAAUUACGGUGGUGCCAUGGAACAAGAGAAGGCAGAUGAAGAGCGACACCCUUCAAGUUAACACAGGAACAAUUAACAAUAGAAUCCUUAAGAUGCAAAACUCCUUGCUGUUUACCAGCAACAGAAGAGAGGAAGAAGUGGCUCUGGGGGAAUUGCGUGCCAGUCUGCGGCAGGUUGGCUGGAGAAGCAGCCCUGGUUGGAGCUUUGGAGAGACACAUGUGCAUUUACUUGUUACCUGGAAGACCUUUUAAAAAAAAUUCUCGUAAAUCUGUCAUUUGUGUAUCCUCAAGGUUUGUGGCAGAAAGCAGAUAUAUCUGCUCCUGUGUGUAAUUGUUGUUAAAAAACACAAAAAGGAAAUAAAAGUGCACAACAUA